rnacentral:rRNA from 1 species
UACAGAGGGUGCGAGCGUUAAUCGGAAUUACUGGGCGUAAAGCGUGCGUAGACGGUUAUUUAAGUCGGGUGUGAAAGCCCCGAGCUUAACUUGGGAAUUGCGCUUGUGACUGGCGUGCUGGAGUGUGGCAGAGGGAGGUGGAAUUCCACGUGUAGCAGUGAAAUGCGUAGAGAUGUGGAGGAACACCGAUGGCGAAGGCAGCCUCCUGGGCCAGCACUGACGCUCAUGCACGAAAGCGUGGGGAGCAAACAGG